GAGGCAGCAGUAGGGAAUAUUGGGCAAUGGGCGGAAGCCUGACCCAGCCAUGCCGCGUGAAGGAAGACGGCCUUAUGGGUUGUAAACUUCUUUACUAUGCGAAUAGAGGUUAGUACGAGGUACUAAUAGGAAGGUAGUGUAGUAAAAAGCACCGGCUAACUCCGUGCCAGCAGCCGCGGUAAUACGGAGGGUGCGAGCGUUAUUCGGAAUUACUGGGUUUAAAGGGUGCGUAGGCGGUUAUAUAAGUUGUCAGUGAAAGGCUACGGCUCAACUGUAGUAGUGCUGGCGAUACUGUAUAGCUAAGAACAUGGAGGGGUACCUGGAAUGUGUGGUGUGGCGGUGAAAUGCGUAGAUAUCACACAGAACACCGGAGGCGAAGGCGGGGUACUAGACCAUAGUUGACGCUGAGGCACGAAAGCGUGGGUAGCAAACAGGAUUAGAUACCCUGGUAGUCCACGCCCUAAACGAUGAUCACUAGAUAUUGGCGACAAACAGUCAGUGUCCAAGCGAAAGUGAUAAGUGAUCCACCUGGGGA
rnacentral:rRNA from 1 species